rnacentral:rRNA from 1 species
AGAGUUUGAUCCUGGCUCAGAAGGAACGCUGGCAGCGUGCAUAACACAUGCAAGUCGAACGAUGAAGCAUUCUUCGGAAUGUGGAAGAGUGGCGAACGGGUGAGGAACACGUAAGAAUCUGCCCCUCGGUCGGGGACAACUCUUGGAAACGAGAGCUAAUACCCGAUACGCUGUGGAGUGAAAGAAUUUCGCCGAGGGAUGAUCUUGCGUCUGAUUAGCUAGUUGGUGUGGUAAUGGCACACCAAGGCGACGAUCAGUAGCUGGUCUGAGAGGAUGAACAGCCACAUUGGAACUGAGACACGGUCCAAACUCCUACGGGAGGCAGCAGUGGGGAAUUUUCCGCAAUGGACGAAAGUCUGACGGAGCGACGCUGCGUGAAGGAUGACGGCCUGCGGGUUGUAAACUUCUUUUCUCGAAGAAGAAGCUCUGACGGUAUUCGAGGAAUAAGCAUCGGCUAACUCCGUGCCAGCAGCCGCGGUAAUACGGAGGAUGCAAGUGUUAUUCGGAAUGAUUGGGCGUAAAGCGUCUGUAGGCUGUAUAGAAAGUCUUUUGUUAAAUGCCUCGGCUCAACCGAGAUCCAGCAAAGGAAACUUCUAUACUUGAGGGAAGUAGAGGUACAGGGAAUUCCCGGUGGAGCGGUGAAAUGCGUAGAUAUCGGGAGGAACACCAAUAUGGCGAAGGCACUGUACUGGGCUUUACCUGACGCUCAGAGACGAAAGCUAAAGGAGUGAUUAGGAUUAGAUACCCUAGUAAUUUUAGCCGUAAACGAUGGAAACUCACUGCCGAGCGAAAUACAACGAGCGGUGGUCAAGCUAACGCGUGAAGUUUCCCGCCUGGGGAUUACGCUUGCAAAAGUGAAACUCAAAGGAAUUGACGGGGACCCGCACAAGCGGUGGAGUAUGUGGUUUAAUUCGANNCAACACGAAGAACCUUACCAGGGUUUGAAAUCAUUUCAAAACUCCUU